UGGGGAAUAUUGGACAAUGGGCGAAAGCCUGAUCCAGCAAUGCCGCGUGUGUGAAGAAGGCCUUCGGGUUGUAAAGCACUUUAAGUUGGGAAGAAAAAAGCUCUGGCUAAUAUCUAGAGCCUUGACGGUACCAACAGAAUAAGCACCGGCUAACUCUGUGCCAGCAGCCGCGGUAAUACAGAGGGUGCUAGCGUUAAUCGGAUUUACUGGGCGUAAAGCGUGCGUAGGCGGUUUGAUAAGUCGAUUGUGAAAGCCCCGGGCUUAACCUGGGAAUUGCAGUUGAUACUGUCAGACUAGAAAACGGUAGAGGGAGGCGGAACUCCAGGUGUAGCGGUGAAAUGCGUAGAUAUCUGGAAGAACACCGAUGGCGAAGGCAACCUCCUGGGCCUGUUUUGACGCUGAGGCACGAAAAGCGUGGGUAGCAAACAGGAUUAGAUACCCUGGUAGUCCACGCCGUAAACGAUGAGAACUUGACGUUGGUUUGCUUAGC
rnacentral:rRNA from 1 species